CCCGUCCCCGCCCCCGCCCCUGCCUCAUCUACCCGGGGCUCCUGGCCAGAGCGCUUUCUCUCGCUGCUCCUCUCUUCGGCCCUUUCUCUCUCUGGCACCUCGGGCGGCUGCGGUGACGGCGGCGACAGCGACCCCAGCAGCAGCGAGCGGCGGGAGCGGGCGGCCGUGACGAUGAAGUGCAAGCCCAACCAGACGCGCACCUACGACCCGGAGGGGUUCAAGAAGCGGGCAGCGUGCCUGUGCUUCCGGAGCGAGCGCGAGGACGAGGUGCUGUUAGUGAGUAGCAGUCGGUACCCGGACCGCUGGAUCGUGCCGGGCGGGGGCAUGGAGCCCGAGGAGGAGCCGGGCAGUGCGGCUGUCCGAGAGGUGUUCGAAGAGGCGGGAGUCAAGGGGAAGUUAGGCCGGCUCCUGGGCAUUUUCGAACAGAACCAAGACCGCAAGCACAGAACGUACGUGUACGUACUGACCGUCACCGAGAUUCUGGAGGAUUGGGAAGAUUCGGUUAGCAUUGGAAGGAAGCGAGAGUGGUUCAAAAUCGAAGAUGCGAUCAAGGUUCUCCAGUGCCACAAGCCCGUGCAUGCCGAAUAUCUGGAGAAACUAAAGCUGGGCGGUCCCCCAACCAAUGGAAACUCGGUGGCCCCGUCUCUGCCACAGAGCGAUCCCUAGUAUGUACCGCUCCUGCACAGACUUCUGCUUUCCGCCUACCUUAGAAUAAAUAGUGCCCGGAGCACCUCUGCUGCCUAGUGCGGUCUCUCGGGGAGGAGGGGGGCUUCUUUUGUUUCCUUGGCAGACCUCUGAAUCACGCUUGCAAACUGUCUCAGUUGCCAGGCACUGUUUUCAGACAAUUUGCACGUUUUUCAGAUGCUUUGAAAAUCGCUGCUUCGUAGGACUGUAACAGAUUUCGAUGAACAGCAAAGAUCUUCAGGAUGGCUUUGAAAGAAUCAUUGAUGUGAACCACUGAUCAAUGGAAUUUUCAAGUGGAGGUGAGCGUUUCUGAAAAUGUUUCCAAGGAGACAGCUCAUCUGAUUUCCCUCCUGUAUCUUGGGACACUCUUUACCUGUCUAUGCCACUGACUUUUCUUGCCCUGGUUGUUGUACUAUUGUACAUGAACAGACUCUGAUUUCAGCACCUAUAGCCUAUUGUUGCGCUUUUUUGAUGUAUCUGCCUUCUCCAUUAGACUGUGAUAUCAUUGAGAGCAAAGACCACAUUUCCUUACUGUUUGCAUAUUCUGCAUAUGAAACACUACUUGAAAUUUGAUUGACAUCUCUGAAGGUUCUUUGAAUUCACAUUUUGUAAUCACUAUGUGGCAAAACAUUCCCCUUUCGAUUGGUGCUAGUAGAAUAUAUGCUGUGUGGGCACCAAGUGUGAGGCUUUCCCAUAUCAGGUGUUUCAGAAACUUUUCAAGGCAGUUUUAAGUUGUUCAAGGACAAGAAUUAUUACCCAUAAUUCUCUGUCAUACCACAAAGUGGCUAGCACCAUUUUGAGAUUUACCCCAUCAUUUAAGGACAACAUUUUGUAGAACCAGUCCUUUGUGUAACAACUUUAGUGUUUUUGUACUGUUGUUACUUUGCUGAAAAUUUUAUUCAAAAAAUAUCACUUGCUAUAAAACUAUAAAAUAAAUACAAUAAACACAAUAUAAACACAAUAUAAUAUUAUGAAUUUUUAUAAAAAUAAAUUUUAAAAUGAUAUAUUUGAUGUUUUUGCAAUGCCCUAACUACUUCUUUCAUGUGAUCUUACCAUCCCUUUGAAGAUUGUUUUUCCCAGUUUAUAGGUUCAGGAUACUGUAUUAUUUGAUGCCAGAGCUAACAAAAACUGUGGUACAGGCAGUUUCCAAAGUUAAUUAUACCACUUACUUUGCCUAGGUUUAUUUUGCCUCUCUUACUGAUACAGUUGGCCAAUUUUCAUCCCCUUUUCUGACACACUCAGCUGGCUUCUCAUUCUACCUGGUUUCUGCAUAUGAGAAUGUGGAGGAGAGUCAGCUAAAUUGUUGUCACUUAGAAAAGGCAUUGAAGAAAAAAAUCUUCUGUAGGGGGGAAUAGAAGAUGAAGAAUUUAUAUAGAGAGGACUUGGGUCAACUGUGUCCAGGAGAGCAACUUUAAGAAAAAUGACAAAGAUUUUUAGAGAUAAUUUUAUGGAGUUUUGCCAUGGGGUUUGUAAUGUCAACACUCUUACCCAGCUUCAUACAGAGGCCCCAAAGUAGCUUUAAUAUGGUAGUUUUCUUCUUUUGCAUUUAUAAAGCAAUUACAUAAGCAAAAAAUGUGAGCUCCGUUUUAGUGUUAUACCUUUACUCAUGGUACCAGUGAAAUAGAUUGUUUCCUUAAUCCUUACAGAAUUUGAAAUUGCACAUCUCCCAAUUUAUUGGGUUUUUUUAAGAUGUGAUAUGGUACUGUGGUUAUGUUUUUUAAUCCUUAUCUUUUAGAGAAAUGUACUGUAAAUUUUAUAGAUGAAAUGAUUAUGCUACUGAUAUUUGCUUCAAAAUAACCUGGGGGUGGGGUAGAUGAGCAUAUAGAUAAAAUGAGAUUGGUAAUAAAUUGAUAAUUUUUGAAGCUGUGUGACAGAUAUUUGGGAGUUCAUUAUACUCUUCUCUAUACUUUUGUAUAUAUUUGAAACUUUCCAUAAUAAAAAUUGAGUAACAA